rnacentral:rRNA from 1 species
GACGAACGCUGGCGGCGUGCUUAACACAUGCAAGUCGAACGGAAAGGCCCUGCUUUUGUGGGGUGCUCGAGUGGCGAACGGGUGAGUAACACGUGAGUAACCUGCCCUUGACUUUGGGAUAACUUCAGGAAACUGGGGCUAAUACCGGAUAGGAGCUCCUGCUGCAUGGUGGGGGUUGGAAAGUUUCGGCGGUUGGGGAUGGACUCGCGGCUUAUCAGCUUGUUGGUGGGGUAGUGGCUUACCAAGGCUUUGACGGGUGGCCGGCCUGAGAGGGUGACCGGCCACAUUGGGACUGAGGUACGGCCCAGACUCCUACGGGAGGCAGCAGUGGGGAAUAUUGCACAAUGGGCGGAAGCCUGAUGCAGCAACGCCGCGUGCGGGAUGACGGCCUUCGGGUUGUAAACCGCUUUCGCCUGUGACGAAGCGUGAGUGACGGUAAUGGGUAAAGAAGCACCGGCUAACUACGUG